UGGGGAAUAAUGCACAAUGGGGGAAACCCUGAUGCAGCGACGCCGCGUGAACGAAGAAGGUAUUCGUAUCGUAAAGUUCUGUCCUAUGGGAAGAUAAUGACAGUACCAUAGAAGAAAGCUCCGGCUAAAUACGUGCCAGCAGCCGCGGUAAUACGUAUGGAGCGAGCGUUGUCCGGAAUUAUUGGGCGUAAAGGGUACGCAGGCGGUUUAAUAAGUCGAAUGUUAAAGAUCGGGGCUCAACCCCGUAAAGCAUUGGAAACUGAUAAACUUGAGUAGUGGAGAGGAAAGUGGAAUUCCUAGUGUAGUGGUGAAAUACGUAGAUAUUAGGCGGAAUACCAGUAGCGAAGGCGACUUUCUGGACACAAACUGACGCUGAGGUACGAAAGCGUGGGGAGCAAACAGG
rnacentral:rRNA from 1 species